CCUACGGGAGGCAGCAGUGGGGAAUAUUGCGCAAUGGGCGAAAGCCUGACGCAGCGACGCCGCGUGAGGGAUGAAGGUCUUCGGAUCGUAAACCUCUGUCAGCAGGGAAGAACGGUCACUGUGCUAAUCAGCAGUGAAUUGACGGUACCUGCAAAGGAAGCACCGGCUAACGCCGUGCCAGCAGCCGCGGUAAUACGGAGGGUGCUAGCGUUAAUCGGAAUUACUGGGCGGAAAGCGCUCGUAGGCGGUAUGGCAAGUCAAGGGUGAAAGCCCCGCGCUCAACGUGGGAACUGCCUUUGAAACUGGCGAACUGGAGUGGGUGAGAGGAUAGUGGAAUUCCAGGUGUAGGAGUGAAAUGCGUAGAUAUCUGGAGGAACAUCAGGGGCGAAGGCGACUAUCUGGCACAUAACUGACGCUGAGGAGCGAAAGCGUGGGUAGCAAACAGGAUUAGAUACCCGAGUAGUC
rnacentral:rRNA from 1 species